rnacentral:tRNA from 1 species
GGGCCCGUAGCUCAGUCGGCAGAGCGCCACCUUCGCAAGGUGGAAGUCCCGGGUUCGAGUCCCGGCGGGUCCA